rnacentral:rRNA from 1 species
ACGGGGGGGGCAAGCGUUGUUCGGAAUUACUGGGCGUAAAGGGCGCGUAGGCGGCGAUCCAAGUUAGGCGUGAAAGCCCCGGGCUUAACCUGGGAAUUGCGCUUAAGACUGGACUGCUUGAGUGCGGGAGAGGUGAGUGGAAUUCCCAGUGUAGAGGUGAAAUUCGUAGAUAUUGGGAAGAACACCAGUGGCGAAGGCGGCUCACUGGCCCGCAACUGACGCUGAGGCGCGAAAGCGUGGGGAGCAAACAGGA